CGUCACUCAAUAGCGUCAUCGGUUGCGUCACUGCGUAUGGGGAAGAGCCGGAGCGCUUGUAAGAGAAAGCUUGAGGCCUGCUCCCCGCUGGGCGGGCGGCGGAGGGCGAGCAAGGAAGUUCCGCCAGGAGAGAGAAGGAGCCAAGCAAGCCGUUCAACAGCACGGAGGUGCGAUGAAGGCCACGCCUGGAGUCUCGUGAUUCGGUUUCCCUGUUCUGUAAGCGUGAAAAGUAAAACCCCGACCUGCCCGCCUUCAAUGGGAAGGUGUGAAUUGAAGACGAAAUAGACUACUGAAUGUGAAGUGUAAAGCCCCGUUACACUUCGUCUUUUCACAUAGAGAAGAAACUGUGGAGCGGGGACUGCGCACCUGGACGCCACAGAAAUCGGGUUGCAAGUCUGAGCCCGGUUGAAACUAGAGAGUCGUCUUGUCUGUCUCCCUUGGAAGUUAGGGACUUAUCUGGGUGCGAAGGAUUUGAAGACAGAAGACGAUAUCCAUGCAAAGACGUCUUAAAUGGGAAGUGGAAAUGAACGGAAACAUCAAGGGCUCCUCGCCCAGGGAAGAGCAUUGUAGUGCCCCAGAGAAGCGAUCAGAACCGCCAAGGCACUGGGAUGGGAAUGUAAACAUGGAGGCCAUCUCGGAGUGGGGGAUUGAUAAGUAGGCCAGGAUUCUAGUGUGGGUGCUGACAUAGGUGGUAGUGACGUUGUCUAUCAAGAUGGAAAGAAAAGAUGCAGGUGUGAGAGUUACUAAACGGGAAUGGCACUCCCGACCGAUGGCUACGGUAGAGACUGUAAAUAAGUAUGGGUUACUAAGCAAAUCCUAGGGUUAAACAUUAAGAAACUGCCCACAGGUAAUGCUCAAUUCUAACUGUGAACUGUGUUUUGCAGAAUAACAUUCCCCACACUGACAAUCCCCCAUCUCCAUAAUCUGCUAAUAUGUUCUGUAAUGUGACAGAAAGGAGUUUGCAGAUAAUGGUUCAGUUAAGUACAUCAGAUGCCCCGAAUUGCCCCCACCCCUGGGCUGGGACAAGAGCAUCAGAGUUGGAAAGGGCGUAUGAGAGAGAUAGAGGUCACAGAGAUUUGAAGAUACUGCCCAGUUAGCCUUUAAUAUAGAUCAAAGGAAUGCAGGCAUGUGGUGGUAUUUUGCUUAUAAUCUAACAAAUAAAGCUUGCCUGAAGAUCAGAGUACAAAGCUAGCCACACUAGUUAGCCAUAAAGGCCAGGUGGUGGUGGUACACACCUUUAAUCCCAGCACUUGGGAGACAGAGGCCGAUGGAUCACUGUUACUCCAAAGCCACCCUAGGAUACAGGAAAUUGAUCCAGUCUAAAAGAGAAACAGCUCACACAAAGGCGAUCUCAACACCUGGGAUCCCACACCUUUAAUCCCAGCACUAGAGAGGAAUAUAAGGCAGGAGGAGACAGGAGCUCAGUGCAGUGUGAGGAGCAGUGCUGCCUGGAGAUGAAAUCUGAGGACAGGAUCACCCUUUGGUCUGAGCAUUGAUAGAGAUGAGAGCUCUCUGGUGGCUGGCCGAUUUGCUUUUGUGAUCUUUAGCUGUAACCCCAAUAUCUUUCUCUGUGUUUUUAUUAUUAAUAUCAAUGAGAAUUUGUGCUACACAGGCAGUCUAUGGAAACUGGAAAGGGCAAGCUACUGGAUUCUUGAAUUUAGGACUUUUGACUUCUAGAGAGCUAACAUGAAUUGUUAACUUACCACAAUAGCCAUGAGAAACUACCACAGUCAACAAUAAAAGUGACAGUGUCAUGUUGCAGUCUCCUUUAUCUAGAAAAGAAGCACACAGUUUGUCAGGCUGCUUCACAGACUAAGCACUGUGACUAUGGUCUGAUGGAGGGGCCAUCAACAGUUAGAGGAAAAUGUCAAACAGCCAAAUAACACAGGCCUGUGACUGAUGAGAGAUGGUUAGUGGCCAGUCCUGAAAUUAUUAAAAUGUGUGCCUUUGAAAGGGA